rnacentral:rRNA from 1 species
UAAUCCGAAAGUUUAAUUAUGGGGGGUGAGACCUGCCCAAUGGUUGUAUCUAAAAGGGUCGGUUGGGCCGACUUUAUAAAGACAAUUGAAUGGCUGCGGUAACACUGACCGUGAAAAUGUAGCGUAAUCAAUAGUCAAUUAAUUGUUGGCCGGUAUGAAUGGUGCCACGAGGGUCUCACUGUCUUAAGAAAAUCCCCAGUGAAAUUGAAUUUGUAGUGAUGAUGCUACAUAAAAAUUGUUGGACGAGAAGUCCCCAUGAAACUUUACUGGAGACUUAUGUGGCUUGUGCUGACUGAUCGAACUAGGCUCAAUCAGUGAAAGCAUCUAACAAAUAAAUAGCUUAGACUAUGUGGUGUUAACCGUUUUAUUUAAAACUUUAGGGAGUAGUGUUUAGAGUAGUCUUCAGACUAAAGUAAAAAACACAUAUGUUUUUUUUACACCCGCCUCUUUCAAAAUUUAGGUUAGUCAAACUCAUCUUUUAUUUUAAGAAAGCUAACUCUUCUUUUGAAUUAAGUUCGAUUGGUGGGGGGUACCCCACCACAUUUUAGGAGUGGUGAAUUUCUGGGUUAGAGAAAUGGGGUAAGUUAGACAGUUUGGUAGGGGCGAUCGCCUUUUAAAAAGUAACGAAGGUGAGCGUAAGAUACAUAUUUAAUAGCUGUCGUCUGACUGUGAAGGGGGGGCCCUGAGCAGACACUAAAAACCGCCUUGUGCGGGGAAUAGUGGGUUGCAGUGACCCGUUGAUUUAAGGUGAAAUAGUUAACGAUAAACAAAUAAAAGUUACUCUGGGGAUAACAGCGCAAUAACGUUAGAGGGUUUUUCUUGAUGACGAUGUUUGCGACCUCGAUGUUGAAUUGCGGCAUCCUGGGGUGCAGUCGCCCCCAAGGGUGGGUCUGUUCGUCCCUUAAAGCCUUACAUGAUUUGGGUUUCAUUC